AUAACAAUACAGGACUCUUUAGAGAUCCUGUAAUUGUAAUGAGUCCACUUGAAAUCCUUUAACUCUGAUCAAUUGGAGGGCAAGUUUGGUGCAGAGCCACUGACCCGUGCGUGCUGCAGCUGAAACUCCAC